UACGAAGGGAGCUAGCGUUGUUCGGAAUCACUGGGCGUAAAGCGCACGUAGGCGGAUGUGUCAGUCAGGGGUGAAAUCCCGGAGCUCAACUUCGGAACUGCCCUUGAUACAGCACGUCUUGAGUCCGGAAGAGGCAAGUGGAAUUCCUGGUGUAGCGGUGGAAUGCGCAGAUAUCAGGAGGAACACCCAUAGCGAAGGCAGCUGCUGGGACGUUACUGACGUCUAAGGCGCGAAAGCGUGG
rnacentral:rRNA from 1 species